CCUUUGCCAAACAGGGCCACACAAAGCCUUCAGUUCAACCCUUUUGUCCCUUCCCACAAAGAGAAGUUCCAGUGAGUGGAUCUUACUUUUUUGUUUUGUUUUGUUUUAUUUGUUGGGAGUUUGGGAGUGUCUUUUGAAAGAGCUCCAUCCAAAGAACAAGUCACUAAUUAGUCACGACAGCUGACAGCUCGGUCUUUGGGGGUUGCUAGAUUUUAAGAAAACAGAAGUUGUAGAAAAUGUCUGUAGGCUCGCCUGGCAAAAGCCUCAAGCUGGUCUUCGCUGAAGCUAGUCUAGUCCAAGGACAGUGAGAAAUUGGAAACAAAACCAUCGACAUUUAUAACUUUUGACAAGUCAUUAUUUGUUCCUCUCUAUAAGGUCCAUUGAGGAAUCACUUCUUCUGGCUUAAUGGCCAAUCCUGCCUAAUAUAACUUUGAUACUAUCUCCCCAUCUCCAUUUUCAACCUUUUAUGAGAGAAACAAAUGGAACAUCCACAUGCUGAUUGUUCACGUGGCUGAUAUCAGAUUGCUUGCUGUCUUGGGAAGUGGGCUCUAGAGAAGGAAGAGAGGAAGGAAUUUGGAGCCCAAGAUCUUGCAAAUGCACUGAAUUUGAGAUUUGGAAGGUUCUUUGUUAUCCAUCUGGUCCAGAAGGAAUCACCAAUAAUAAUAUAUUUGAUAAAUUUGACCUCUGCUUGAAGAUUUCUAAAGUAGGAAAAAAAAAACCCCAGCUCUCUAGGUUACCCAUUACAUUCUUGGAUGGCUCUAAGUAAAACUCAAAGUAGUCAUUGUUGGGGACUUUAAUUUGACUCUUUCAGACUUAGCAAAAUCUAAUCAAAGGAUAAGCAAGAAAGUUAAGGACUUAAAUGGAAUUUUAGAAAAGUUGGCUAUGAGAGACCUUUGGUGAUUUCUAAAUGAAAAUUGUUAAUUUGAACUUAGAGAUCCUUUCAAGAAAAGAUGCCAACUCUUUUCCAUCUCUAUAACUGCAUAUUAUUUUAUCUAGCAUGGUACAAUAUAUAGACUAUUGGUCUUAGAAUCAGGAAGAUUUGAUUUCUCAAUUCAAAUACAAGUCACCUCAGCUUUCUUAAUCUCAGUAUUUCUUGUUAAUUAAAGUAUAAAAAUACAAGUAUAGAAUAUAGCAUAUAUU